GGGGAAUAUUGCGCAAUGGGGGAAACCCUGACGCAGCAAUACCGCGUGAGUGAAGAAGGUUUUCGGAUUGUAAACUUCUUUUGUCGGGGACGAAAAAAAUGACGGUACCUGACGAAUAAGCCACGGCUAACUACGUGCCAGCAGCCGCGGUAAUACGUAGGUGGCAAGCGUUAUCCGGAUUUACUGGGUGUAAAGGGCGAGUAGGCGGGAUCAUAAGUCAGAUGUGAAAUCUGGGGGCUCAACCCCCAAACUGCAUUUGAAACUAUGAUUCUUGAGUGAUGGAGAGGCAGGCGGAAUUCCCGGUGUAGCGGUGGAAUGCGUAGAGAUCGGGAGGAACACCAGUGGCGAAGGCGGCCUGCUGGACAUUAACUGACGCUGAGGAGCGAAAGCGUGGGGAGCAAACA
rnacentral:rRNA from 1 species